GGAGAGCUGGGAGCCGCGGUCGCCGUUCGCGGUCCUGGGAAAGGCCGCGGAUAGAUCGGACAGUGAGGCUCCCUGUAGAGCUGUGGUUAAGUCAGUGUGCCCCGUGGCCACCCCGUAGGGCGUCCAGCUUUGUCCAGUAGGCAGCAGUGUCUGCUCAAUGCCGGGUGUAAAUAAAAAACUAUCGAAAUCAGCCAGGCUAAUGUUGCUUUCCAAAAUUAAGUGACUUGGGUGAUGUAGAAAUCGCGACUCAGAAUGUCUAGAAAGCGUGUUCGGAAUGCUUUCCAGAUCUCCACCCUUCAGCAAUUCGGUUUAUUCAAGGUUGAAACAGGGUAACAAGAUUUGUAACCUCUUAACCCUUCUUCACCUCUACCAUCGACUCCCUGAUCUCGAAUCUUCAUGGAUUCGACCAUGAAGCAAACGAUUCACGAUGGAGCAAACUUUACCUUGAAUCCUUCAAAGAUGAAUUUGAGCCUGCGUGCUUGGGGGUAAAAACGUGGCUGACAUAUCUAAACAAAAUAUAUAGUCAUUUUCAUCUCUGACUGGAACUUGAAUUGGCUGCAGCAAGAGCCAGCUCACACCUAAGUUGUCAGCAAGACUCUUGCAGAUUUCUUCCGGAGAGACAGAAACAUCUGUCAGCCAGGAAGGCGGCUGUUGGAGGAAUUCAGGAGUAUUCGACGGAGUCUCCUGGAGUUGGGGAGUGGUCAGUUUUACACAUCCUCCUUAGGACCUCACAGACAAGAACAGCAGGAUCUGCUUCUUCAUGAAACCUUGGCUCUGUUUUAUCCAGCGACAGUCCUUCAGCAUACCUAACCUGUCCAGAAAUCAAGGCCUUUGCCUUCCCCACAGAGAUAAUGAGGACAUGCCGAGGGACCCCCUUCACAUCCUUGCUCUCAAGUGGAUUCAGUGUCAUAGUUCAGGCACUU
rnacentral:lncRNA from 1 species